UGAACAUGCAGCAACGCCCAGAAUUGCAGGCUGCAGUUGCACACUACCAAAAGGUGUCUCCUACUACAAAAAUCCCACUCCACCCACGUAGAUCAACGGAGUGAAGCUUGUAGUAAGCGAAAAAAUAUUUACCGAACCUGCUAAGAAAAUAUCUUCGUACGAAGUGAUGUGUUUUUAGGAAGUCCCUAGUUAGCUAGCUAGCUUGAUGGCUGGCUGGCUGGCUGGCAGGCAUUUGGAAAACAAAUAGCUAGCUACCGUUAAUUACAUCAAACGUUAAAUGCCUAACUAGCAAGCUAAUUAACAUGCAGUAUUGGCAGUGAACAUUUGACACGGGGGAAAAAAAGGUCUGACUGCUAGCUAAUUGAGCAAGUAUCACCAUUCUGUGGAAUGACCAUCGACUCCAGCAUCUCAAGGCAAGCAGGUUAGCCUUUUAGCUAACGUUAGCUAGCGAGCAGUUGGAAACGAAUCGGGUCAUCAAAAAGAGGGAUGCAGAUAGCGACACAAGCUCAGUUCCAGAUUCCAGCUGUUUUUGAGGUCCCAGACUGGACCAGCGUCUCAUCAGCAACAUUUGAAAAGUACAUCCGUUCACGGAAUUUUGGAAAACGUUAAAAAUAAAAGUCCCCCACGUAAUAGUAGAAAAGUGUCAUUAACCUGUAUUUAUUCAUGAUAUUGUUUAUGAACAAGGAUUGUCAAAACAUCAACAAUGGUUCAUACUUGUUCAUUUUUAAGUGACAUUAGCAUUAAAUGGGGGUUUCAAACAUAUUUCCAAAGUUCAAUAAAUGCCCACAAUGCACUA